UACGUAGGGGGCAAGCGUUGUCCGGAUUUAUUGGGCGUAAAGAGCGUGUAGGCGGCUAGGUAGGUCCGUUGUGAAAACUCGAGGCUCAACCUCGAGACGCCGGUGGAAACCAUCUAGCUAGAGUCCGGAAGAGGAGAGUGGAAUUCCUGGUGUAGCGGUGAAAUGCGCAGAUAUCAGGAGGAACACCGGUGGCGAAGGCGGAUCUCUGGGCCAUUACUGACGCUGAGGAGCGAAAGCGUGGGGAGCGAACAGG
rnacentral:rRNA from 1 species